AAGACUUAUGGAUAGGUGCAAAACAUAAAUCCUCUUUUGCAACACAGAACUAAUAGUUAAGUAUGAAUUUUGAUACUUAUAAGAAGGGAUAUU
rnacentral:snoRNA from 1 species